GAUGAACGCUAGCGGCAGGCUUAACACAUGCAAGUCGAGGGGCAGCGCGGGUAGCAAUACCUGGCGGCGACCGGCAAACGGGUGCGGAACACGUACAGAACCUACCUUUACCUGGGGCAUAGCCCGGAGAAAUCCGGAUUAACUCCCCAUAACAUAUAUGAGUGGCAUCACUUGAAUAUUAAAAAUUUAUUGGGUAAAGAUGGCUGUGCGUCCCAUUAGCUAGUUGGUAGGGUAACGGCCUACCAAGGCAACGAUGGGUAGCUGGUGUGA
rnacentral:rRNA from 1 species